ensembl:lncRNA
AUGGACACAGUCAAAGUUGCAAUUGAUUUGAAAGGAAAUGGACAUUUUUGAGGAGAUGCCCGAGAGGGGAAAGACUUCAUUUUAAUCCCGUAUUCGCUUCACUGGUCUGGAACCUGAGCAGCUCUAUCGUCUAAGGUAAGAGGAAUUAAAUGUUUUUUUUAAUGUUUAAUCUUAGCAUUCAAUGGAGAUAAUACCUAUGAAAGAGAAAGUGUGCAUAGGCUACUCAAAUCAUGCAUGAUUAACGCGCACACUCGCAGUGUGGAUUCAAUGAGGCCCAUAUUUAAAUAUAUCGUUAUAUGUAGGACAAAAAUAUUAAAUUACAUAACAAGUCAGCAUCACACAGAGAGCAACCUAAUUGGCACGAUAAGAUUGAAAAUAAAUUGAAUUGUGGAAACUUACGGACUCAAGGCGGCCGUCAGCUUCAGGCUGUGGUGACGGUUCAGGUAAAGAGGCAUCAGGUGGGACAGCCGUAGUGCUGGCCGCUGCAGGAGUGCUACAGCUGGCAAACACCGAAACACCAAAUGUUUCCUGUCCCAAAGACCGAGAAGGCGUCGUACUCCAUCCGCUUGGUGGGCAUCCAGUCCUCAAAUACUGAAGUUCAUGUCCUCCAACGGUCCCACCUCAAUGACGUCAGUGUUCGCGGUUCACCGCUUGAGUAACUGAAAGAUUUGGGUGCGUUACAUUUGACGAAGAAGUGCAAGAAGAGCGGCUCAAUUUCUACGAUACCGCCUGUUAAUGCUUCAGGGAGCUGAUGAAUCUAAGAUGGAUACUUUUGACGAUGCCACUCUAUCGGUGUUGGAGGCUGCCAGUGUUGAUGAGGAGGCUUUGAAAGGCCUUAGCCGGGAUGACCUGAGGGAUCUUUUUCCUGGCCCAGAGAAUUUCCUCAAAAGAAAGAAACUUUGGAAUUUCAUCAGUGAAAAUUGUGAAAAUACCACGGACCAAGAUGCCAACAAUUGUGCCAUGCCACCAUGCCAGCCUCAAACCUCAACCCCCAUAUCUGCUGAGAAAAAAAUGAAAAUGCCAGACCCUCCAGAGUAUGUGGUGUACACAGAUUCAGAGUUAGACAUGGUGCGUAGUCAAUACUUUGCACUGCUCUGCAAUGGAAAGGAAAAAAAUUACAAACUGUCCAAGGAGCUAUGUUGCAGACUUGUAAGGAACACAAUAACCAGUAUGGUUGCUAUCCUGCGUGCUAGUCCCAUGGGGAAAGAAGUCAGUUACCCGUCAAAAUUGGAAAUAAGAGCCAUGUCACAGAAGAUUAUAGACUAUUACCCAAUGUUACGGGAUGAUGAUCCAAACAUGCCUUAUCUGACUAUCUACACCAAAAUGUACAAGCGACUCCAAAAUAUGAGAUCCCCACGGAAGAGGCAAGGCUCUGUACCACAAAGAGGAGCGGCAAAGACAGCUCUCUUCAGUGCAGACAACCAAGACAUGGAGACGGAUUGGACAGACACAAGCAACUCAAGUGAUAAUACCUUACUUCUUGAGAGCAAUGAUGACCUUACCGAGGACAACUCCAGUGAAGCAUUCCCAGCACAUCGACCCCCCUCUGUGCCAAGGAAGCCAAAGACCAAAACCUUCCUGCUGCCAUCCGCAUCAGCCUCAGGCUCCUCACUCAGGACUGUGAUCGCUUCACCAACCACGCCUGCAAAGGAUGAUGUUGUCGGCCAGGACAGUCUGAAAAUGCAGGCUAAGCACUACAAAACCUUGAGCAACAUGUACAAUAAGCCAAAUGCAAAACCCAAUCAAAGUGAUGUUGCUCAAGUUUUAGACCUUGAGUUUAAGGCCAGACGGGCUUUCAUUGAUGCAGAUGUUACAAGGGAAGAAGACCGACCUGCAAAAAUCUUUGAGGCAUAUCCAUGCUUUAGAGAUGUUCGAAAUGCAAUGGAUGAGCUGCGGCGCAUAGUAGGUGGCACCAACAGCAGAUACAUCGAGGAAGUGAAAGGAAGAUGGGUAGACUUUUGUGCCAAGGUGCAGUUCUAUGGUGUGUGGAAGAAAGCCCUGAAACCCCCCUUUCCAUCGGAUGUCCGUGGAGUGGAGUUCACGCUUGCCCUCUUCAAUGCACUCCCAUCCCUUUUCCCCUCACCAACUUCACCACCAAAGAAGCUUGGAAAUAGCUGUGAGGCACUUCUUCAUGUCCUGAAGUCAGGCGAAGACCCUGCCCUGUACCUGGAAAAGCAUCCUCUCUCCUCCCCAGUUCUGCUUUCUGAUGGCUCAACCACCAUUGUGGCUGUGGGUAAUGUACCUGUGACCACCCUCCCUCAGGAAGAUUUCUCAGACGGGAUGUUGGUGUUAAUGGCAUAUUACUACACUUUGCACUUAAGAUAUCCAAAAUGUGUUGCAACGCUCCUGUCAGUAAUUCAAACAGAGGUAAUUGGUGACACAAUCCACGAUCAAGAUGCCACUAGUGCUUACAGGAAAGCAAUGGCUGAUUGGAAGUAUUUCAUUGAGAAGUAGCUGAGUAUUUUGUCAUGCCAGUUCUUAUUGUUAGCUGUGAGUUCUUAUUGUUAGCUGUGCCUAAUAAUAGUUUUGUGUUGCACAAGCUUAUACAGUCACUGAGUUAUUACCUCAUUUAGGCCUGUAUUUAAAAUGAUAGUUAAGGAAAAAUCCAUAACUGAGGGCUGAGAAGUGUUUUUGUUUUUUGCCCUUUUGCUUUUAAUUUCUUUUAUUUUUAUGGAAAAGUAUUCAAAUGUCUAUAGCAAACUUGACUUGCUGAUGUUAAAUAAAUGUUGUCUUAAGCCAUGUUAUUUCUGCACCAUUAUUCUAAAAAAGGACAGGCUUUAGAUUUUAAGAUGCUCAAAGUAAGAAAACAAAAUGGGUAAUUGCUUAUAUUUAGUAUAUUUCACUUAUUUUGAGGCUGUAAAAGUUUAAAUUUAAGUAAUCUAGUCUUAAAAACAGCAUUUUAUGCUUAUAUUUAGUAUAUUUCACUUAUUCUGAGGUUGUAAAAAGUUUAUUUUAAGUUAUCUAGACUUAAAACCAGCAUUCUAUGCUUUUAUUUAGUAUAAUUCACUUAUUUUAAGGCUGUAAAAAGUUUAAAUUUAAGUAAUCUCAUUUUACAACCAGCAUUUUAUGCUUAUAUUUAGUAUAAUUCACUUAUUUUGAGGCUGUAAAAGUUUAAAUUUAAGUAAUCUAGUCUUAAAAACAGCAUUGUAUGCUUAUAUUUAGUAUAUUUCACUUAUUCUGAGGCUGUAAAAAGUUUAUUUUAAGUUAUCUAGACUUAAAACCAGCAUUCUAUGCUUUUAUUUAGUAUAAUUCACUUAUUUUAAGGCUGUAAAAAGUUUAAAUUUAAGUAAUCUCAUUUUACAACCAGCAUUUUAUGCUUAUAUUUAGUAUAAUUCACUUAUUUUGAGGCUUUAAAAAGUUUAAAUUUAAGUAAUCUGAUCUUAAACCCAGCAUUUUCAUCUUAUGUUAAGCCUUCCAAAUACCUCUUUAGACAAGCUUAUUUCUAGAUUUAAUUAUCUUAAUUCAAGAAAUCUUGUCAAGUGAAAUUAUCUAGCUGCAUGGACAGAUAAUUUCACUUGUUUUGAGUACAUUUUACCUUAAAUUUAGUUUUUUUUAUCUUGUUUUGAGACACCCUUUUUUUGCAGUGUGGAAAAGUCCUUUUCCCCGGACGGUCCCCUGGAGCCUGACGGACGGUCAGUGAAUCCUGUUCGUGACGCCAAAUUGUUGUGGAAUAUUUCAAUAAAAGCUCCGUAAAAGAGAAUGAUUUGUCUGAUAAAACAGAGUCUUGAUGAAUGAUCAAAGUUGCAAAAAGUUUUUAUUACAUUUAUUGCUUGCAAGCAGGAGGUCAAAUACACAGGCACGUAUCACAGUGCUCUGUGGAAAUGGCGUCUCCGAGCACUAAAGACGCUGACUUUUUAUACACAUGUGAAGAACAUUCUCCGUGCCAGCUACGAGAAGCUGCAAAGCAGGUUGAGAUAAGAACCCAGGUGAAGCUGAGGGUAGCACACACACACACACACACACAAGAUCCUCCUCAGUGGCCGGUGCAAAUCAUAAUUAAUUGACAUGAAAGUAAAACUUGGAUCCAGAACUUUCGUACAGAAUAAGAUAUCAACCAAGGCCAUGAACAGGAGUCCUUUGUUUUGAAGCUUCUAUGAGAUCGAGUCAACCGUCCUCCCUUCUCAGGGCACAGCUGCAAACUAACAUUUUGUAUCAUGCUGCUCUUUGCACAUCGGGGUCAAAUACAGGACACUUGAGACACGGCUUUAGCACAAAACAAUGUUAUAACAUAUUUUUACCAUUACACUCUUCAUAAAGCCUUCAAUCUUCCAUAGAAUACCUACUGCUAAUUCUCUCCUCACUCGGCUCUCAGGGG